AAUACUUAGGAAUCUACCUAUUAAUGGGGGACAACAUUUCGAAAGGAAUGCUAAUACCGCAUACGCCCUACGGGGGAAAGCAGGGGAUCUUCGGACCUUGCGUUAAUAGAUGAGCCUAAGUCGGAUUAGCUAGUUGGUGGGGUAAAGGCCUACCAAGGCGACGAUCUGUAGCGGGUCUGAGAGGAUGAUCCGCCACACUGGGACUGAGACACGGCCCAGACUCCUACGGGAGGCAGCAGUGGGGAAUAUUGGACAAUGGGCGAAAGCCUGAUCCAGCCAUGCCGCGUGUGUGAAGAAGGCCUUUUGGUUGUAAAGCACUUUAAGCGAGGAGGAGGCUACUGAGAUCAAUACUCUUGGAUAGUGGACGUUACUCGCAGAAUAAGCACCGGCUAACUCUGUGCCAGCAGCCGCGGUAAUACAGAGGGUGCGAGCGUUAAUCGGAUUUACUGGGCGUAAAGCGUGCGUAGGCGGCUUUUUAAGUCGGAUGUGAAAUCCCUGAGCUUAACUUAGGAAUUGCAUUCGAUACUGGGAAGCUAGAGUAUGGGAGAGGAUGGUAGAAUUCCAGGUGUAGCGGUGAAAUGCGUAGAGAUCUGGAGG
rnacentral:rRNA from 1 species